AGAGGCUUGCAAGCUGACUCCUUGCGGUGAAACGCGACUUGGAGGGGACGCAGCAGCCGCGACGUUCAUCUCGGGCGGACUCCGGGUGGCGACUUCGGGCUGGCGGCUGGGACGGCGCGGCGUGGCGGGGUGUCGCCGAGAGGAAGCCCGCCACGCGCGGGGGAGGGCCGGCCCUGGCCCCCAGCGAACGCCGCUGCGUCGGGGAGCCGCGGGUCGCGUGGUCGGUGGCAGGCGCGCUCGGAUCUCAUCUUUUUUGCAAAAAUGGAGUCAUUCUGAAUGUAUUAAUUUACAACUUGGAAUCACACUGUUUUGUGACUUAAUUUUUCUCCUCCAAACCAAGAUGCUGUGAACAUCUUUUCAAUCAAUAAAUAUUCUAUGUAAUAUCUUAGUGGUUAUGUAGUAUUUCAUUGAGAGUUUAACCAAAAUGUAUUUAAUCAAUCCUUUAUUGUUACUCAUGUAAGUUGUUUUUUUUUUUGCUAUUGUAAGUAAUGCUAAAAUGGAUAUCUUUGUGUAUAUGUCUUUUUUCUUUCCUUUAAAUUCCUAGAAAUGAAAUUACUUCAUCAAAGGGAUUGUACAGAUGUUUGGUAAACCCAUUCCUGGAUUGCCUUCUAGAAAGAUUGUACUAAUUUAUACACCAGCAUUGUGCCGGAAUGGUUGGUUGCCCACGUCCAGAUAACUCUUGGUAUUUUCAUUGUUUUUCAUUUUUACCAGUCUGUUCAAUAAAUUCUGUCAUUCUUA